CUCACUUUUCCCACUCUCAGCCGCCGCACAACACACACACAGCUCCACCAUGCACGUAGAGGAAAAUCAGAAGAAGAAGAUAGAUAGCGCCGGUAGGUAUCACUGCCAUCGUUGUCGCCGUCGUUGUGGGGUGAGAGGCAAGUGUUGAAAGAGACUCAACCGCACAUAAUAGAAGAGAGAGCUUGCGAGGGAGAGGAGACACUGCUGUUGCAGCUUCGUUGUCAUCGCCGAUGCUGAUGUUGUCGCCAAAGCUUACCGUGACGCCGUCAAUCUGCUAUCACUAUCACCGAGGAACUCGCGCAAGUGAGAGGGAGUUGCUACCAUUGAAAAUGCGAGCAAGUGGAGUUUUGUCUCAUCACCACCGCUAUUGUCAGUGGCUGUUUCCGCCGUUGCGCCUUGCUGCUACCAUGGCCAUCGCUCUUUCCACUGCUGCCGUGGUUGCCGCUGCACAUGGUUCACCGUGGAGAGGAGCCGAGGAGAGAAUGAGCAGAACGUGAGGAAGAGGACGGGUUCUUGUCGCCGCUAUGCACCCAGUUGCCGCUGAUGCCGCCGGCGCUACCGCUGCAAGCUUCCCCUGCUGUUUGGUUCUAGCUCGGUUGAAAUCUCCUGUGUAAGCUUUAUUCUAAGUGGUUUCUGGUUCACGCCGAUUCUGUCCUUGCUAGUGAGGGUCACUGGAGUUGUUGCGCUCCAUUUUCUUAUUCCUCUUAAUUUCAGUAAGUUGCUUUUGCUCCGAAAAAUCUUUUUAAUAGUUAUUCCGUUAUAUGUUGUUGGGAUUUUUGCGGCAUUAUUGCCAUGGGGUUGAGUUUCAAUUCUUGCAUAUCGCAUUUGGAAUUGAUGUUGUUGUUGCGGGAGCGAUAUGGAGCUGUGGUUGCGGCUGCCGCUGCUGCGGGCUGGGAGAUGAAUGAUUUUGUCUCGUAGUUAAGUUGCGAUCAAGGUAGAGGCACACUCCUUCGAUGUGGAAAGGCACUCUCCUUCGUAAUUCCUCCAGGAGAAUGUGGAAAGACACACUCCUACGAUGUGGAAAGGCACUCUCUUUCGUUUGUGUUCCUCCUGGGGAUGCACAAUUUAGAGACGAUGUUCAGACUUCUCUUUUCAGGAUGGACGAGAAAGCUGAUGAAGUUUUUGCUAAGUCCUUAGCUGUACUGUUUCUGUUUGUAUAUAUAUUAGUCAUAGUUUUUUCCUUGCCUUUGUCAUUAUAAUUGUGUAAGAGGGAUAGGAGUUGUGUAUUUUGUAUUUAUAUAAUAUUUAUAAGUUACUUGU